CCUACGGGUGGCAGCAGUGAGGAAUAUUGGUCAAUGGACGAGAGUCUGAACCAGCCAAGUAGCGUGAAGGAUGACUGCCCUAUGGGUUGUAAACUUCUUUUAUAGGGGAAUAAAAUGUUCCACGUGUGGGAUUUUGUAUGUACCCUAUGAAUAAGGAUCGGCUAACUCCGUGCCAGCAGCCGCGGUAAUACGGAGGAUCCGAGCGUUAUCCGGAUUUAUUGGGGUUAAAGGGAGCGUAGGUGGCUUGUUAAGUCAGUUGUGAAAGUUUGCGGCUCAACCGUAAAAUUGCAGUUGAAACUGGCAGUCUUGAGUACAGUAGAGGUGGGCGGAAUUCGUGGUGUAGCGGUGAAAUGCUUAGAUAUCACGAAGAACUCCGAUUGCGAAGGCAGUUCACUGGACUGCAACUGACACUGAGGCUCGAAAGUGUGGGUAUCAAACAGGAUUAGAUACCCGUGUAGUC
rnacentral:rRNA from 1 species